rnacentral:rRNA from 1 species
AUGGAUCCUGAGCUGGGAGAGGUCACAGAGGAGGAGGGGGACGCCAUAGAUGUGAGGGCUGCAGUAGCAGAGCAGAGGAGGAGGAGGCACAAGCGCAGGCAGAUGGCGCAACGUGCUGCCGAGGAGGAACUGGAGGCAGAGUUCAACAGACGGCUUGCGCGUGAGAAAAUGUCACCUAGGAUCAGGAUUGUUGCUCCUAGUUCUGGUGUUCUGAAGAUGGAGACUUCAGACAAUAAUGGGUGUCAGUUGAUGGAUGUUGCCUACCACAUCGACUUUGAUGGUUGCAUCAACCUAACUACUGGGUGGAAGGAGUUCGUGGCAGAGUCUGGAUUUGAGGAUGGUGAUGUGGUUAUGGCUGCACUCGCUAGGGUUCCUUUGUUAUUGAACGAGCGUUUGGCGGCAGUGAUACUGGAUUGCGUGGUGGAUUUUGUGUUUGCUGUUAAUGACAGCCAUGGUUUUCCUGACGACAUUGCUGAUGUUGUUAAAGAUAUUAAUGAUGGAAUGUAUUCUCUUAACGUUGAUGAUGGUGAUGGCAGCUUGCAGUUGUCUGUUACUCAGUCUCAAAGUGUUGAUGGCACUGAGCCUGUUACCCAGGCUGAGGAUGUUCCUAUGCACAAAGCUGAUGCGGAUAGUGUUGCUGUGAAAGUUGGUCCAAGCAAACUUGGUGGCUCCCCUAUUCGUCGGAGUCCAUGA